rnacentral:pre_miRNA from 1 species
UUAGCUCAUAUUUGUAUGGAAUGGGAUCGUUUGCGUACGUUUGCCGCUAGGGGCGCUGUUCCAACUGCAUACAAAAUCGGAUU